GCGGCCUAUCAGCUUGUUGGUGAGGUAAUGGCUCACCAAGGCGACGACGGGUAGCCGGCCUGAGAGGGCGACCGGCCACACUGGGACUGAGACACGGCCCAGACUCCUACGGGAGGCAGCAGUGGGGAAUAUUGGGCAAUGGAGGAAACUCUGACCCAGCGACGCCGCGUGCGGGAUGAAGGCCUUCGGGUUGUAAACCGCUUUCAGCAAGGAAGAAGCGAAAGUGACGGUACUUGCAGAAGAAGCACCGGCUAACUAUGCGCCAGCAGCCGCGGUAAUACAUAGGGUGCAAGCGUUGUCCGGAAUUAUUGGGCGUAAAGAGCUCGUAGGUGGUUCGUCACGUCGGAUGUGAAAAUCUGGGGCUUAACCCCAGACCUGCAUUCGAUACGGGCGAGCUAGAGUGUGGUAGGGGAGACUGGAAUUCCU
rnacentral:rRNA from 1 species